CCCUGCCUCAUUUUCUAAGAUCACCACCUCCAAAUUCAAGAAUGGCCCAUUUCUGUGAGAAGAUCAAGCAAAGGCAGCAGGAGGCCCACAUCAAUGGACAACUCAGCCAUAAAGCAGAUACAUGCAAGAUAAAUGGAGGGGAAGAAAAGCCAGAAUGCCAAUAAGGAUACAAUAAAAAACUCUGGUAGCACAAGAAUGUGCUGACACCAACUCUCAUUUGAGCUCCGUGUUCAUCUUUGCACAACACAAGGAGGGUCACAGAGUCUGGGGAUUUCUCUGCAACAGUGGAGCAACACCAACAUUUUACAUUUCAGACAAGGGAAUCAGAUUAUUUUUUAUUGCUACCCCAAGACAUUUGUUGUGCAAAGGACCUACAGCUUGCCAUUUCAUUUCCUCAGAAACUUCUCUGCCACCAGUCUCUUUACAAGCAGAAAAAGGGAUUUUCUGUCACUCAGAAGAGAAAGGGCUGAGGCACAGAAAGGCAGAAUCACAAACAUGAAGGCAAGAAAAGCUUUGAUGGGCAAGAAAGAGAUUGAGAGAGAAGGAGUGCUGAAAAAAUGGCAUCAUCCACUGGAUACUCCUCAGGGUGUGGAGAGUGAGACUUUGCCUGGACUGCUUUUGAGUCACAG